rnacentral:rRNA from 1 species
UACGGGGGGUGCAAGCGUUGCUCGGAAUCACUGGGCGUAAAGCGACCGCAGGCGGCCUGACAAGUCGGAUGUGAAAGCCCUGGGCUCAACUCAGGAACUGCAUUCGAAACUGGUAGGCUCGAGUACGGGAGAGGGGGGUGGAAUUCCUGGUGUAGGGGUGAAAUUCGUUGAUAUCAGGAGGAACACCGGCGGCGAAGGCGGCCCCCUGGCCCGCAACUGACGCUCAUGGUCGAAAGCGUGGGGAGCAAACAGG